CAAGCUAUUAGCAGAGCAGAAAAUAACAACCUCUAAAUUAAACAAAAUUUGCAAUAAAGGAAGUGUAAACAUUAGAUGACUUUUUACAUGAAGUGUUUAGGAAGGCUGUGUAAGUCACAUGCAGUUUGAGGACUUGCAACUGUCCUUUUAUCAUGACCUGACAAGGGCCAUACUCUAAUUAUGCAAACCUCUAAGCCUAUUUACAAGCCGAAUGAGUUCCACAUGGGUAGUCU